UACGUAGGGUGCAAGCGUUAAUCGGAAUUACUGGGCGUAAAGCGUGCGCAGGCGGUUUUGUAAGUCUGACGUGAAAUCCCCGGGCUCAACCUGGGAAUUGCGUUGGAGACUGCAAGGCUAGAAUCUGGCAGAGGGAGGUAGAAUUCCACGUGUAGCAGUGAAAUGCGUAGAGAUGUGGAGGAACACCGAUGGCGAAGGCAGCCCCCUGGGUCAAGAUUGACGCUCAUGCACGAAAGCGUGGGGAGCAAACAGG
rnacentral:rRNA from 1 species